GACGAACGCUGGCGGCGUGCCUAAUACAUGCAAGUCGAACGAGAGCGCCCGGUGCUUGCACUGGUCAGUCUAGUGGCGAACGGGUGAGUAACACGUGGGUCACCUGCUCAUCAGAGGGGGAUAACAUCCGGAGACGGAUGCUAAUACCGCAUAGGUCUUCGAGCCGCAUGGCUCGAAGAGGCAAAGAGGCGCACGCGUCUGCUGAUGGCUGUGCCCGCGUUGCAUUAGCUAGUUGGCGAGGUAACGGCCCACCAAGGCCGCGAUGCAUAGCGGACCUGAGAGGAUGAUCAGCCACACUGGGACUGAGACACGGUCCAGACUCCUACGGGAGGCAGCAGUGGGGAAUAUUGCACAAUGGGCGCAAGUCUGACCGAGCAACGCCGCGUGAGUGAAGAAGGUUUUCGGAUCGUAAAACUCUGUUGUUGGGGAAGAACAGCUGCAGGUGAAACCGUUGGCGUUUUGACGGUAUCUAAACAAUAAGCAACGGCUAACUUCGUG
rnacentral:rRNA from 1 species